UCUCUGUCUGUCAGUGUCUGUUCAGUUCUUUGCUGUUGUUUUGGAUUGUGGUUUGUUACUGCAUCCGAGCAAUUUAAGCAAAUUAUCUGGUCAUUUUUACGUUGUGUCGAGGAACUGCUCCUCCGUACUCUAUCUGUUGAUAGUACUUUCGCGAAAGGACGCUUUAUUACUUGUGUUGUACGUGCUUUAAAAUGACGAGUUUGCAAUGCAUCAAUUGCAACGUUCGCUUGUCGCGAAUACGAAGGCACGCUUUAUCCGAUGAGAGUGAAGAUAUCGUCAAUACUAUUCGGCUGUGGACAUAUCCUAGAGAUAUAACACCUGCUGACCAUGUUUGCCGCACGGAACAAAUAUUUGAAUGAUCUGCAAGUAGUUGUUCUGGGUCUGGGUAUUUCUGCACAUGAGUUUCUAUGUUGAUGAAAUAAUACUAAGAAUAGAUUAAAUAAUUAUAAGAACAAUAAAAUAGAUGUAUAUUCCUACAAAAACAAA
rnacentral:lncRNA from 1 species